GUCGCUUCUCACAAACACAGCCAAGGUCAAAGUGUAGUAUCUGUUCUUAUCAGCUUAAUAUGCGAUGCGGAGUCAAAUGAACUGGGAGUAUUGAAGCUGAUUUUUGGAAUUCGUGGGAAAAUCAAUGCUUGCGUGUCCUGCCACGGAGACCGUGUACUGGCGCCUCAUCGCUCGCCCUGUUUUCUGAAUUAAA